GACGAACGCUGGCGGCGUGCUUAACACAUGCAAGUCGAACGGUGAAGCGCCUUCCUUUUUGGUGGGUGUGGAUGAGUGGCGAACGGGUGAGUAACACGUGAGUAACCUGCCCCCUUCUUCUGGAUAACCGCAUGAAAGUGUGGCUAAUACGGGAUAUUCUGGGUCUGUCGCAUGAUGGGUCUGGGAAAGAUAUUGUUUCGGUGGGGGAUGGGCUCGCGGCCUAUCAGCUUGUUGGUGGGGUGAUGGCCUACCAAGGCGGUGACGGGUAGCCGUCCUGAGAGGGUGGACGGUCACACUGGGACUGAGACACGGCCCAGACUCCUACGGGAGGCAGCAGUGGGGAAUAUUGCACAAUGGGCGCAAGCCUGAUGCAGCGACGCCGCGUGAGGGAUGGAGGCCUUCGGUUUGUGAACCUCUUUCGCCAGUGAAGCAGGCCUGCCUCGUUUGUGGGUGGGUUGACGGUAGCUGGAUAAGAAGCGCCGGCUAACUACGUG
rnacentral:rRNA from 1 species